CUCAGCUCUAGCUGGAGGCUGAUGACUUAAAUGGCAGUGGAGACUUCUAGAAACUGAGACUCAGUAAAGCACAGUGGGUACAUAUCUCGGCUUUGCCCUAUGCUGUCUGAGUAUCCUCGGACAGGCCACGCCCCUUCAUUGCCUCUGCUUCUUCAUCACCAACAGGAGGAGGAUGGGAAUGAGACUGAACAAGAUCACAAGCUCUAGAACCAACUGUCAACACUGCCCUCGCCCUGCUGAUUUGAAGAUUCAAAUCUCUGUCACUGGACACUUGAUCAGCCACCUCCUGAGAGGCAGCACAACUACAGUUAUGGAUAUCAAUGAAGACAUUUUAUGGUCGGGGUCAUCACAGCAUAAGGAACUUAAUGAAAGCGGCUCAGCAUGAAGAAGGUUGAGAGCCACUGGUGGAGAGGAAGCUCAUUCAAUGACUAGGAGCUGGAUUAGGAAGCUUUAAAAGUUAACUUCUAGACCUGGAGAGAUGGCUCAGUGGUUGAGAGCUCUUCCUGAGGACCUCCAGUUCCAGAAGAUACAAUGCCCGCCCGCUUCUGGCCUCCAUGGGCACUGUAUGUAUGGUGGUAUACAAACAUGGAAAAAUG
rnacentral:lncRNA from 1 species